GGUUUUUUGAUUUAUAAUGAAAAAUCUGACCUGCCCAAUGAUGUAUUUAAUGGCCGCGGUAUUUUGACCGUGCUAAGGUAGCAUAAUCAUUAGUCUUUUAAUUGAGGACUGGAAUGAAUGGUUGGACGAGAUAGAGACUUUUUUAUUAUUAGAUAUUGAAUUUUACUUUUUGGUGAAAAGGCUAAAAUAUUACUAAAAGACAAGAAGACCCUAUUAAGUUUUAUUAUUAAUUACGUUCUAGUAUAUGUUUUUUUGUGUAAAGUUAUAAUUUUGUUGGGGCAACGGGUAUAAAACUUAUUAUGAUCCAAUAUUAUUGAUUGUUAGAUUAAAUUACUGUAGGGAUAACAGCGUAAUUUUAUUUGAGAGUUCAUAUCGACAAUAAAGAUUGCGACCUCGAUGUUGGAUUAGAAUACCUUUAUAGGAGCAGUAUUUUUAAAAGGUGGUCUGUUCGACCAUGAAAAUUCUACA
rnacentral:rRNA from 1 species